rnacentral:tRNA from 1 species
GCUGAUAUGGCUCAGUUAGGUAGAGCACAUCCUUGGUAAGGAUGAGGUCCCCAGUUCAAUUCUGGGUAUCAGCA